UAUUAAAUGAAAUACUUUACUUCAUUUGGUUGGCCUUUUGUUACCCAUAGAUUACCGGUGAGCAGUUGUCGGAGAUGUACAAAGAUUUUAUGGCUAAUUACCCAGUGGUGUCCAUUGAAGAUGCCUUUGAUCAAGAUCACUGGGAUGCAUGGACUCAGCUGACACAAUCAGUUGGUAUCCAGAUUGUUGGGGAUGACUUAACUGUGACAAACCCAAAACGGUGAGUGCAGUGAGUUUUUUGAU